rnacentral:rRNA from 1 species
UGGUCAAGUUAUUAAGGGUGCAGGGCGGAUGCCUUGGCACUAGGAGCCGAUGAAGGACGUGAUAAGCUGCGAUAAGCUUCGGGGAGUUGCACGUAAACUUUGAUCCGAAGAUUUCCGAAUGAGGAAACUCACUUAGAGUAAUGUCUAAGUAUCAUUAAGUGAAUACAUAGCUUAAUGAGGGGAACUCAGGGAACUGAAACAUCUAAGUACCUGAAGGAAGAGAAAGAAAUUCGAUUCCGUAAGUAGCGGCGAGCGAACGCGGAUUAGCCCAAACCAAUAAAGUUUUCUUUAUUGGGGUUGCGGACAUAUCAUAACGAAGAGGUAUCGUAAUUGAAGAGGUUUGGAAAGACCCACCACAGAAGGUAAUAGUCCUGUAUGUUAAACGAGAAGACUUUAGAUAUGAUCCAGAGUACCACGGGACACGUGAAACCCUGUGGGAAGCAGGAGGGACCAUCCUCCAAGGCUAAAUACUACCUA